GACGAACGCUGGCGGCGUGCCUAAUACAUGCAAGUAGAACGCACAGGUUAUGCCUUUAGCUUGCUGCCCAUAUACUGUGAGUUGCAGAACCGCUGAAUAACGCUGACGUUACCUGUUCUGAUAACUUCGGAUAACUAUUGCAAACAAUAGAUAAUACCUCCUGAUAUUAAUUAUUGCAUGAUAAUUAAUUGAAAGGUGCAAAUGCACCCCUACCUUAUGGACCUGCUUUGUAUUAACUAGCAUGUGAGGUAACUGCUCACCUACCCGACUAUACAUAUCCCACCUCACAUGGUGAUCGACCUCCCUGCCACAGACACACGGCCCACACUCCUACGGAAUGCAGCACUAUGGAAUCUUCCCUGAUGCACCAAAGUCUGACCCAGCAACACCGCCUGAGUGAAGAAGGUUUUCUGAUCCUAAAACUCUGUUGUAAUAGAAGAACUGGUGUGAGAGUGGAAAGUUCACUCUGUGACGGUAUCUUACCAGAUACGGACGGCUAACUACGUGCCAGCAUCCUCUGUAAUACAUAGGUCCCGAGCGUUGUCAUCAUUUAUUGGGCGUAAAGUUAGCGCAUGCCCUUAGAUCAGUCUGAAGUUAAGGCUGUGGCUUAACCAUAAUACGCUUUGGAAACUGUUUAACUUGAGUGCAGAAGGGGAGAGUGGAAUUCCAUGUGUAGCGGUGAAAUGCGUACAUAUAUGGAGGAACACCGGUGGCGAAAGCGGCUCUCUGGUCUGUAACUGACGCUGAGGCUCGAAAGCGUGGGGAGCGAACAGGAUUAGAUACCCUGGUAGUCCACGCCGUAAACGAUGAGUGCUAGGUGUUGGGCCCUUUCCGGGGCUUAGUGCCGCAGCUAACGCAUUAAGCACUCCGCCUGGGGAGUACGACCGCAAGGUUGAAACUCAAAGGAAUUGACGGGGGCCCGCACAAGCGGUGGAGCAUGUGGUUUAAUUCGAAGCAACGCGAAGAACCUUACCAGGUCUUGACAUCCCGAUGCCCGCUCUGGAGAUAGAGUUUUACUUCGGUACAUCGGUGACAGGUGGUGCAUGGUUGUCGUCAGCUCGUGUCGUGAGAUGUUGGGUUAAGUCCCGCAACGAGCGCAACCCUUAUUGUUAGUUGCCAUCAUUCAGUUGGGCACUCUAGCGAGACUGCCGGUAAUAAACCGGAGGAAGGUGGGGAUGACGUCAAAUCAUCAUGCCCCUUAUGACCUGGGCUACACACGUGCUACAAUGGCUGGUACAACGAGUCGCAAGUCGGUGACGGCAAGCUAAUCUCUUAAAGCCAGUCUCAGUUCGGAUUGUAGGCUGCAACUCGCCUACAUGAAGUCGGAAUCGCUAGUAAUCGCGGAUCAGCACGCCGCGGUGAAUACGUUCCCGGGCCU
rnacentral:rRNA from 1 species